rnacentral:rRNA from 1 species
UGGAUCCAGACUUUGAUUAUGGCUCAGGAUGAACGCUAGCGACAGGCUUAACACAUGCAAGUCGAGGGGCAGCGGGGUUCGGUGCUUGCACCGGACGGACGGCGACCGGCGCACGGGUGAGUAACACGUAUGCAACCUGCCCGCAGCAGGGGGAUAAGCGGAAGAAAUUCCGUCUAAUACCGCGUAACAUCUUGCGGAGACAUCUCCGGGAGAUCAAAGGAAGCGAUUCCGGCUGCGGAUGGGCAUGCGGCGCAUUAGCUAGUCGGCGGGGUAACGGCCCACCGAGGCGACGAUGCGUAGGGGUUCUGAGAGGAAGGUCCCCCACACUGGUACUGAGACACGGACCAGACUCCUACGGGAGGCAGCAGUGAGGAAUAUUGGUCAAUGGGCGCGAGCCUGAACCAGCCAAGUCGCGUGAGGGAAUACGGUCCUAUGGAUUUUAAACCUCUUUUGUCGGGGAGCAAAAAGGCCACGAGUGGUCAAAAGCGAGAGUACCCGAAGAAAAAGCAUCGGCUAACUCCGUGCCAGCAGCCGCGGUAAUACGGAGGAUGCGAGCGUUAUCCGGAUUUAUUGGGUUUAAAGGGUGCGUAGGCGGACUGGAAAGUCAGCGGUAAAAUAGUGAGGCUCAACCUCAUCCCGCCGUUGAAACUGACAGUCUAGAGUGGGCGAGAAGUAUGCGGAAUGCGAGGUGUAGCGGUGAAAUGCAUAAAUAUCACGCAGAACUCCGAUUGCGAAGGCAGCAUACCGGCGCCCAACUGACGCUGAGGCACGAAAGCGUGGGUAUCGAACAGGAUUAGAUACCCUGGUAGUCCACGCAGUAAACGAUGAAUGCUAAUUGUCCGGCACGAAUGAGUGCUGGGUGAUACAGCGAAAGCGUUAAGUAUUCCACCUGGGGAGUACGCCGGCAACGGUGCAACUCAAAGG